rnacentral:lncRNA from 1 species
UUUGCAUAGAUGCAAACCUAGGGCUCCAAAUUGGGGUUUUGCUCAAUAGUGAGGUUUGAUCUCAAUUGAUGGUCUCUAAACCUAAUUGUUAGGUGUCUAAACGCGUUGGCAAAGACGGAUUCAGCAUUCGUCGAGCCGGUGAGAAGUUAUCGGCAAAACAAGACUGAUCGAGCUUCGUUUCCACCUACGAGGUCGAAGCGACGUUGAAGCAAGUGCCGAAUAGUGUUCUUAGCACCCCGACAUCGUCGAAGGGUGGGUGGUGUCAUCCCAAAGCAACCGGGUUCCUCUCUAUGUCUUAGAACUUCAUGAUCUGCAUCUCUUGCAUGUUGCAUGUAGGAUUUCAUGUUAUUCCAUUCCUUAUGCUUGCUAAUGAUAUCAUUGUAUGAGUUGAAUGCAUGAUGAUGGUUAGAUGAGGAUUGGGUCUUGACAUUGAAUUCUAUAGUGCCGAGAAAAGAGAUGAACUCGAUGAUGGUUAAAGACAUAAUGAAUGACAUUGACUGUUAAACAAACAAGAACGAGUGGCAUAUAA